GACGAACGCUGGCGGCGUGCUUAACACAUGCAAGUCGAACGGAAAGGCCCCUUUGGGGGUACUCGAGUGGCGAACGGGUGAGUAACACGUGAGUAACCUGCCCUUGACUUCGGGAUAACUUCAGGAAACUGGGGCUAAUACCGGAUAGGAAUCCUUGCUGCAUGGUGGGGGUUGGAAAGCUUCGGCGGUUUUGGAUGGACUCGCGGCUUAUCAGCUUGUUGGUGGGGUAGUGGCUUACCAAGGCUUUGACGGGUAGCCGGCCUGAGAGGGCGACCGGCCACAUUGGGACUGAGAUACGGCCCAGACUCCUACGGGAGGCAGCAGUGGGGAAUAUUGCACAAUGGGCGGAAGCCUGAUGCAGCAACGUCGCGUGCGGGAGGACGGCCUUCGGGUUGUAAACCGCUUUCAGCAGGGGCGAAGCUUGUGGUGACGGUACCUGCAGAAGAAGCACCGGCUAACUACGUG
rnacentral:rRNA from 1 species